UACGUAGGGUGCGAGCGUUGUCCGGAAUUAUUGGGCGUAAAGAGCUCGUAGGCGGCUUGUCACGUCGGGUGUGAAAGCCCGGGGCUUAACCCCGGGUCUGCAUUCGAUACGGGCUGGCUAGAGUGUGGUAGGGGAGAUCGGAAUUCCUGGUGUAGCGGUGAAAUGCGCAGAUAUCAGGAGGAACACCGGUGGCGAAGGCGGAUCUCUGGGCCAUUACUGACGCUGAGGAGCGAAAGCGUGGGGAGCGAGCAGG
rnacentral:rRNA from 1 species